rnacentral:rRNA from 1 species
UACGGAGGGAGCUAGCGUUAUUCGGAAUUACUGGGCGUAAAGCGCACGUAGGCGGCUUUGUAAGUAAGAGGUGAAAGCCCAGAGCUCAACUCUGGAAUUGCCUUUUAGACUGCAUCGCUUGAAUCAUGGAGAGGUCAGUGGAAUUCCGAGUGUAGAGGUGAAAUUCGUAGAUAUUCGGAAGAACACCAGUGGCGAAGGCGACUCACUGGACACGUAUUGACGCUGAGGUGCGAAAGCGUGGGGAGCAAACAGGG